rnacentral:snRNA from 1 species
CGUUAUGGAAUGCUCAACCAAGA